CUAUUCAAGGGUUGAGCCCUGACAUCCAAGGUAACACAUCCGCCACUUCGUUCUGCUUAUUGGAACUAAGUCUCCCUGCGUUCAAUGGGAACUGUCCUUAGACAACGUUUCAGGACUGCAGCCUCAGACGAAAUCUAGGCUAAGCGGCCUGGCGGGUUGAUGCAGUCUUCGUUAAGAACAAUGCACUCCCAUCCCUUCCUCUCUGCUCCUCUAAUACAACAAAACCACCGUCAUAAUACUGAAUCUUCCCCGACAUCAUUUCCAAAUCGUUACCUGCGGGUGCUCAAGAGUUAAUGGCUGCAGCGCACUGGGAAAGACAACCGAUUCCAAGCUGCGGCAGUCCUCACUCCGGUCGCGCUCCCGGUGAAAGCUGCGAUCAGUGCUUGCCCCCCGCCCAGACCAUCCGGGGCUGGGCAGCCUAAAUCUCAAGGGGCGCGAUUCUGCAAGUGCUUCGCGAUGCACUUUCGAUCUUAAAGUUACUCAGGGGAAUAAAUUAGAGCAUACAUAAAUGAAUGCACGAGUGGAUCCGGGAACAGCGGGCCGCCUCUCUCCUUUUGUUCUCUCUCUUCCCCACCCCGGAUCUAUUCCUCGGGAUUCGUCCGCCGUUGCUGGCCACGCACAGCCCCGAGAUCUUGAGCCAACCCCUUCCUGUGCCGUUAUCGUUUCUGAGCCGGACUGCAACCGUCUCCGUUUUGGCAGCUAAACUGCGCCUCGAGUCUCCCGGGAGAGAAAAGCAGCUGAUUUUAAGGAGCUGGACGGGCGCCCUGGAGUUGCCGUAAACAGAUCUCCGCUUCACGUGUCAGCAGAUUCUUUCAUCGGACAUAUGUGUGUCAACAGUAGGCAAGGUUCACAUGCAUUUUAAAAUCAUGGUUUGUUAAGCAAAGACUGGCUUCACAUACUACAUGGAGCCGAAGACAAACCAUGUUUAGCCUUAGCGCAAUGUAUGAACCCAGCCAUUAAAACGCGUACAGUAGUGGAAUCAGGUCCCCCGUCACCACUUGCUGGAUGGGAGAAGAACUUAACUCAUCAUUAUGUGAAAAUACUUAGAGCAGACUCUCAGAAUUUCCAGUAUUCCAAAAAAAUUAGGGAAUCCUGUUCUUGCAAACAUUACUGGACUCAAGUCAAAUUAAAUUUUAUCUAUGCAAACAUUUCUAAUAGCAUCAUUCAGGAUCGUUCUGGAAAGUUCAAAAGCAGAGUAGAAAUGUGAUGGUUCUUUCCGUGUUUAGUUCUAGAGCUGGUGAUGCCCCCAAACUUGAUGAAUGUAAGAAAAUCCUGGCACUAUCAAGAGAGUCUGAUUACAUGAUGCCAUCUCUUGAGCCAUUACUCUCUUCCUCAGAUAUUCAGAUUAGGACUACCAUCUCUGGAAAGCAGCAAGAAGAUACCAUUAAGUGAUGUUAUCUUCAAUUCACCUCUGACCCACUGUGAAGGCAACAAGCAUUCUUCUUUUCCUGAUCCAGUUUUCAAGUGGUGUUUUCCACCUUCAGUCAACACAAGCCUUGCAGUUUGGAAUGGUUCACCGUUUCUAUUAGCAAGCAUGAAGGAAAGCAGUGGAAAUCUCCCAAGACUUUGCUGCUUUAUGAAAACCCUGCUGUUGUAACUCUUCGUGAUCUCUCUGCCUGGUCUCUUUCGGACAGUGACACCAGGGCUCUGCCGAAUCUUUUGUGGAAUGGUCUGUUCUAGGCUCUGCUUAGCCUCUUGAGUUAUCUCAGCUGGAACAACAGGAUGGUCCCUUUCACCCUUUUCCAUAUCAUCCAUUUGUGAUGAGCUCUGUUGGCUCUUGCAUUUUUAUUCCCAUCUGUUCUCCUGCAGCUGGCAGCAAAAUCCAGUUUUUAAUUAGCACAAAAAAGCAUAUACCAUACAAACAUAGCCAUGAUUUUGGGUAGAAAUGUGAACUCUCUCUUCAAAAUAUCUCUAUAGCUGUGACCACAAUGGCACACAGAGUUCUGGGAAAGAUGUACAAAUAACCACGUUGUUUCUAAAUCAGCAGCAUUCAUGCCUAACUACUACUGACAAUUUUCAUCCUCUCAAAAAGAGCAUAAAUGAAUGGUUUUGAUUUAUAUCCGUAUUCAGACAUGAAGCUCACUGGGCAACCUGAACAAUUAUUUCUGAGCCUGGUAAAGGGUUGAGUCUCCCUUUUUACCCCUUCUUUCAUGAUUUAUGUAUCUUUGUUUAGCUAAAACAUACGACUGCAAUAAAGGAUUGCCACACUUUG